AUUUCACCCUUCCAUUCAUUCCACCAUGUGAGGACACAGUUUGUCCUAUCUGGAAGAUGCAGCAACAAGAUACCAUCUUGGAAGCAAGCAACGUGACCCUAAGUAGAUGCUGAACCUGUGGCACCUUGAUCGUGGACUUCUCAGUUCCAAAACUUUGGCAACACCAUUAUGACAUCACAACCUAUUUCCAAUGAGACCAUCAUAAUGCUCCCAUCAAAUGUCAUCAACUUCUCCCAAGCAGAGAAACCCGAACCCACCAACCAGGGGCAGGAUAGCCUGAAGAAACGUCUACAGGCAAAAGUCAAAGUUAUUGGGGUGCAUAGCAGCCUGGCUGGAAGCAUUCUGAGUGCUCUGUCUGCCCUGGUGGGUUUCAUUCUCCUGUCUGUCAACCCGGCUGCAUUAAAUCCUGCCUCAUUGCAGUGUAAGUUGGACGAAAAGGAUAUACCAACCAGACUUCUUCUUUCUUAUGAUUAUCAUUCACCUUACACCAUGGACUGCCAUAGAGCCAAAGCCAGUCUGGCUGGAACUCUGUCUCUGAUGCUGGUUUCUACUGUGUUGGAGUUCUGCCUAGCUGUGCUCACUGCUGUGCUGCAGUGGAAACAGACUGUCUGACUUCCCUGGUUACUCAUGUCCUCAAAGACGACUCAUGAUGCUGGAUAUGAAGAACUAUUGACUUCUUGGGAAAAAACGGAGAAAUAUUAAUUGGAAAGUUGAUUUUUAUGAUAAUAUGGAAAACCUAACCAUUAUAAAAAAGCAAACUUGAGUUUCCUAAAUGACUAUUUCCCCACACCAUAAAAAUCUGUGCAGCAUUGCAUACAGAGGAUAAGAGAUAUGGCAGUCGCAGAUGGAAAAGGAGGAAAUUUGCAAUAGAAAAUUGGAUAUCCUGUUGCUGAUGCCGGAUCAAGCAAUCAGAGGCUGGGGUCAGUCCAGAAGGCUUCAGAUAACACCAGGGUGUAACCCUGGCGAGAAAUCCUCAUUUGCUCCAAAACCUCUUCCAGCCCCAUGCAACAGCUAGGUACUCCAUGAAGAGAAACUGAUUCAAAAUAUGGCCAACAUGCCCAGUAACCUGGGGGAUUGGCCAUGGUAUCUCCAGGAAGCCUGUCAUCUGAGACUUGAGAACAGCAGGUGGUUUGCCCUAAAGGCAUGUAGAUGGCCAUGGGAUGCCCGGGAUUUUUAUUUGAUUUGGUUUUAAAAUGGUGGCUAAGAGCCUCAAAAUGAAUGGACAGAAUUGAGGUCCACUUCUAUACUCAGGAGAAGAAUGGGAGUGAAGAACAAUUAGACAAAGUCUAAAAGAUUUCUUUCAAUUCACCCAGAGUGAAGAGAAUGGGGUGGGGGUGGAUAAAAAAGUGCAAUAAAGUUAGGAUAGCACAAAAAGCA